GCUUUUUAUAAUAGAUAUCUGUCUCUAUCUCUAUCUCGCGUUCUCUCGCUUUCUCUUUGUAGUUGUCUUCCUUGUAGCUUCUAAACCCUAAAUCGAUAAACACUGCCAUAUUAGACUUUGAAAUUUCAUUUCUUAACUAUGAGCUAUCUGAGUGAAUCGAUUAUAAGUAAGCGAGACGAAGUGCUGCGAAGAGAUUGCCGGUGUGGGGUAGCGGCAAUGUUGAAGAUAGCUUGGACGAGCACUAACGCAGGAAAGAGAUUUUGGGGUUGUUGCAAUUAUGGGGUGACGAUAAUAUUUUAGAUUUAGGCUUUGUUUUUUUUAUAUUGUUAUUUUUUUUUUUCUUUCCAAUACUCUUGUUUUGCUUUGCUGUGUUUUAGACAGUAUGGCAUUGUCAUUACCAUGAGUGGGCAGACCCUGUUCCUAAUGAAAGAUCAAGAAGAAUUUUUGUGUUUUGCUGAGGAAGAUUGAGAAGAUUGAAAAAGAGAAGAAAAUGAGGCAUAGAAAGGCUGUGUGGUCUGUAUUGGGCUUGUUGUCUGUGUGUUUGUGGUUUUGGCUUUAUGCAGGGAUUGUGGAACUGGAACUUGUAGUUGCAAUUAGGCUUUUGUACUGUAUAUUAUUAAGCUUAAACCAUGCUUUUAAUGAAAGCUUUGAUGAUUUUGGACCAUGAAUUUGUGAAGUGUUUAUCUUUAUUUACAUUGGUAAUGAAAGCAU
rnacentral:lncRNA from 1 species